UUGUGGGAAAAUAUGGAAGUUCUAUUUUUAAUUUUUUGAGGAGCUUUCCUACUGUUUUCCAUAAUGGCUGUAAGAACUAGAAUUCUUUCUGUAAGAUCUCUUUUCUCUCCAGUAUCCACAGAUGGUUGACAUAUUAUCUCAUUGUCUCUUUUCCUCUCUCAUUUUUUCAUUGUUUCCUAAGCUUCAAGACUUUUUUCCAGAAUGCGCUCCUCAUAAACAUGUUAUCAUUUCUUCAGUGAUGACUUUGUAUGAUGUGAUUAAACUGCCAGAGUCGCAGAGAGAAGCAGGCCGGGACCCAGGAUAAUUAGUUCCUGCCUGAUUCCUCCCAGGCAGAGAGGGGAAAGUCAGCGUCCAGAGCAAGGCCUGCCCUUUGGACUCCCCUCUUCAUUCGUUCUUUAUUUCCAUGCUUCCUCCUCACCCAGACUCCCAGGUUCUUUUAGGUUCAGAGAAGGGCUCUGGGCCUCCCCUCAUUAGCUCUCAUCCCCCACCCUGAUCAUCCCAGGGCUGGACCUGGCCUUGAACUUGUCAAUUGGAUCCCCGAAGAUUUUCAAGAGAAGCACUUCUGUUUCUCAUAAUUUAAGAUCAAGUAUCUGGCCAUUGGCAGGUACAGGAAAGGGAAAAUCAUCUUUCUGCUUCUAAGAAAAGCCCCUACUGGAAUGGGGACAGAGGCCUAGGUGUCUCUUUACUACCCUCGCCUGGUGAGUAGUGGGGAUUUCUGGGAGGAGGAAGAUAAACUAAAAAUAUUAAUUCAGUUCACCCCCACCCAAAUGAUUUAAUGAUCAGGACCUUAACUCUUACAGGCCCUGAAAGUUCUCAGCUUUCCUGACCAAUGAGAAAUACGAAUGAGAUGACGCUAUCUUUGCCUGUAUUUCAAAUGUCCCCCUAAAAUGCCUUCAUUUUACAAGUGUGUGAAAAUCCCUGCCCUCUCCACCAUAAGGUAUUUAUACAAAGGGCGUGUUUAUCAUUAUUAUAAGAGGAAGGAAAUGCUUCCAAUUGUUAUCUGCCUUUCACAAUUAGAGGGAUGCUGAGGUUAAAAUUUUUCAUUUAGAUCCCAGACAAUUAAAACAAUCAUUUCUCCUUAGGUAAAGAGGUAAUUUGAUAAAUGUUACUAGUUUUUUAAAAUAGCAAUUGGGAUUAUUUGGAAAUUCCCUAAGUAGACAUCUUUAAUAAUUGUGUUAUUAAAAUAAAAAUAUUUUAGAACAAUUGAAACAUCAUUAAUGGAAUGUAAACGUUAUCACAAGAAUGACAUUUUCUUUCUCCUUCUGCACUUGAUAUUUACUCAUUUCUUACUAACUUUGGAAUUUACCUUUUUUCCCCCCACUUCCAACAAUGUGCUUGGUUUAUGCAAAUAUUGAAAGUAACCUUGAAGACAAACGUUGAAAGACGACAAUUUUCAUAUUCGUCUAAGGAAGAGUUUUCCUGAAAUGUAAAAGAAGUUAAAGAAGGUGAUUUUUCAAUAAUAGCCAAUUUGAGCAUGUAAGGAAAAAUUGUAUGACCUAAGAAAAGCUCGGAUUAAAUUGUUCAAUUUCAGAUUCAAAAAUACCAUUCCCUUCUGAGAAUACAUAUGACUGUACCCUGGAAAUUCUUUCAUUCUUCCCUUAAAACUGUAAAAUCUGCCAUGAAAACACUAUGGCUGCAUGCAAGGCAAUCUGGUCACUGGAGGAACCGUGUGGAUGUCGUCCACCUGCCACCCGUCAUAAUGUCUGUAAUUGCCUUCUGUGGGUGGCUCAGCCUAAACAGAAAAAAGGCUGUGUCCCUACCUGUACGGAUGCUGCACAGGUUACACGUGGAGAGAAAGGAAAUGUGGUAAAUAUCAACAACUUGACGUUGCUAGGAGGAUCCAUUCUGCUAUUUCUUCAACUUUCCUGUGUUUAAUGUUUUUCAAAAUAAAAAGUUAGGAAAAGAAAUAAAUGUCACGUGAACUUUAAGCACCUCAAAAUUGCUUAAUGUAACUGGAUUUACUGGACCUAUUUGACUGGUGUAGGUGGACAAUGGCUACUCAGUUUUAUGCAUUUAAAGUUGUCUAGGUUAACUAUUGUAUUCUAAUAUUUGAGAAAUUAUUUAUACGUAUGUGUCUUUCUGAUUCCUUUGUAUUAUUUCUUAAUGUGCUGGAAAUAAAAUCUAGCUUUUUAUUUAAAAAAUAAGAGGGUUCAACUACUGUAAUUUUCUUAAUUUUUCAAUAUGGAUCAAAUCAGGGCUAUGUUGUAGACACCAACUUUAUGCAACUCUGCUUUAAGAACUAGCAAAAUAUAGGACUUGCUCAUUGAUAAUUAUCAACAUAACAUUUCUUAAGUCUCCAUAAACUUCUAUGUGCAUAUGCUUAUGUUAUUGAAAUACUGAGAGUAGAAAAUACUUUGGUUUUUCUGCAAUCAGAUCACUGAUAGAGUGAAUUUUCUAUUUCCUUCCAUGAAGUUUUGAUGGGCUUCAUGCGAUGCCGUCCUUCCAAGCGUAACACUCCCUCCAAAGGCAGCAGGGCUAGGAAGCACAGUCAACACCCACUGACAACAUCAGCUGUGUAUUCAGAGUUGAAUAUCAAACAUUUAAGACUGUGAAGUAGAGGAAACCCUACAGAGCACAGGUUCAAGACCUGUUUCCCCAGUGUUCCCUGACUAAGCAAAGCCCUUGGCAUCGGCAGCAAGCUUGGAUUCCAGCAGCCCUUGAUCCUAUCUGGACCCUAUGAGCACUGUGUCACCGACUGUCUUACUUGAUGCAGUCUGGCCAGUUCACCCACUCCCUUUCUCUUUCAAGACACGACACUUAACCAGAGGCAAAAUGAUAUUCCACAGUCUGCUUUGAAGAACAGCACUUUGAAUGUGUUGAUUUUCCUGUGGACCCUGGCAUGUUUAAUAAUUGCAUGGUUCAUAUGUGGAUUUUCAGUGAGAAACAGUACAAAUUACUGUUGAAGGGCCCAGGUGUGGAAGGAGUCAAUAAGUAGAAUGGUCAAGAUUUAAAAGAAAACUUCCUGUAAAACUAUAUUGUAAAAGUGAGUCCACUCCCCUCCCCUCCUUUGCCUCUCCCAGCCAUCUGCGACGCUCUGUUAUUGGGGGUUCUGACUUUAUUGCGCACAGCUGCUUAGGGUGAUCAUUUAAGACAGAUUCCCAAGCCUCAUGACCCCCAAUUUCUGAUUCUGAUGGUCUGGGGUAGGGCCUGGGAAUUUGCCUCUGACAAGCAUCUCCAGGUAAUUCUAAGGCAGGUGGUCUGGACUGCUGAGAAACACCACUGUAAGGACCAGUUCCUCCUCACAUCGGGCCGUAUAAAUGACAUGGACCUAUAAGGACCCAACCUUUUCUCAUUCUAACUAUGAAUCCUCUGAAGAUGCUAUCAAGUGCAUAAUCCAUUUAGCUCACUUAUCUCAGUAGCCUUGCCACCAAGGAAAACAAGCUUUCAAGACAUGAUCUACAUUGAAAGUAGUUCAGAUUCAGUCAUCACUAGUGUAUUGAAAAAGAAAAAGAAGAAAAGCUCAACAGUAUGUUCAUCUUACUCAGAGGUUUCCAACACAUUUUAUUUUGCAGACCACUGGUUUGUAGCUUUUGAGGACCAACAUGUGUAUAAAUCCUAUAAAAUGUCCAGUUAAUUUCAGUUCUGUAGCAGCCUCUUAGGUACCACACACCGUACUAAUGGCUUGAGUUCCAGUUACCCACGUGAAAAGGCUGCCCUAUGGCUCCUGAAGGAGGGGAGGUCC